rnacentral:misc_RNA from 1 species
UCUCCGUAGGUGAACCUGCGGAGGGAUCAUUACUGAGUGAGGGCUCCGGCCCGACCUCCAACCCCAUGUGAACCGAAACCUGUUGCUUCGGGGGCGACCCCGCCUGUACGCGAGGCGCCCCCGGAGGCUCAUCAAACACUGCAUCUCUGCGUCGGAGUCUUAAUGAAUUUAAACAAAACUUUUAACAACGGAUCUCUUGGUUCUGGCAUCGAUGAAGAACGCAGC